UACGGGGGGGGCAAGCGUUGUUCGGAAUUACUGGGCGUAAAGGGCUCGUAGGCGGCCAACUAAGUCAUACGUGAAAUCCCUCGGCUUAACCGGGGAACUGCGUCUGAUACUGGAUGGCUUGAGUUCGGGAGAGGGAUGCGGAAUUCCAGGUGUAGCGGUGAAAUGCGUAGAUAUCUGGAGGAACACCAAUGGCGAAGGCGCCACUCUGGGCCGGUACUGACGCUGAGGAGCGAAAGCGUGGGGAGCGAACAGG
rnacentral:rRNA from 1 species